CUCAAGGAACUCCUGGAGUACACCUGAGCCCAUGAGGAAUGCUGUUUGAAGGAAUGAAGUCAGUCUAUGAAAAUAUCCCUCAAUGGAGAAUCAUCCCUGAAGAUAAGAAAUUGUGACUUGGUAGCUGAUGACAACCUACCUAAUGGGUUAUGAAAGAACUCAAGGGUGAAAUUGUGGAGCCACUGCUGAAAGGAAUAACUCUGUUUCCACUGAAGGAAAAACAGGUCAAGUGUUGAUAGAAAACAACCAGUGCAUUGCUUUCAUGGUUUCCAAUCAUAUGAGCCCAUGGACAAAAUCAAUAGUUAUUGGAUCACAUGUGACAGUUUCCAAGAAAAUGAAAAAGAAGAUCCAUCCCAGUUCAGAGACAAUUGCACUCGUGGAGCGAUAUUCUUCUAUGACAACAGUGUCUUCUUCUGGAAUGCUUCCUGAAGAACCUGCCUAAGGCUCCUCUUGAAAAGGUGUCACUCUUUUGAAAAAUAUGUCACCCCCCAAAUUUUAAAAAUAGAACGAGCUUGCAGAAUAAGAAUGUAAAGAAAAAA